CUUUAAAACUCUUCUUUAUACUAGAAUCAUAUUUAUUAUAUGACUAAUAUAGCCUGAGUAGAUAUAAGUAUAUAUAUACAAUUCAUUAUUUCAAACAUAUUCCUAAUUCAGAACAAAUGAUCUUCAUCUAUUGAAUUAUUCAAAGAUUUACUUCUUUGUGGUUUACACAUGUAAAAUACCAUCAUCAGGGUUUAAUACAUUCUGCAUUAAACAACUAUUCUUCUUUUCAAGCGCUUCUAAUCACGAGAGAUCGCAUCAUAGCUUUAACCUGCAAAUUAAGCAAGAUUGAGCACAACGGCCCAGCAAGUCUAACAGCCUAUCAUGCAUCACGUAGCACAUAAGUUUCACAUUCAGUUCAUGCAUUUAUAUUCUUGGAGUUCAAGCAUAUUACAAUUGUAUCAUCAAACUUAAAUUCUACUAGUAGUAACAUACGCACCAUAGCAUACGACACAUGAACUGCAUCUGUCAUUCAUUACACAUAUAUAUUGAGUUCCCUGACUCAAUUCAACAAUUAGUAAUAAUUUGACCUUCAUCAUUCACAAAGCAAUUAAUGCAAUUCAUAGGCAUCACAUAUCUAUAAACAUAAGUCAUGUUAACAUUUAUUUAUAGCAUUUAUAAGUCCACAUAAAUAAACUGAGAAACUUGCCUUAAUUGGAGAUUACCGUUAAACUUAACUUAGCUUCUUUCCAAAAUUCCUACACAAUCGUGUUUACAUAUACACACAUAUUAGGUAAUCAUUUAUGUAACAAAAACAUGCAUGCAUAUAUAUUAACCAUGAUUAUUAGUAUAUAUAAACUAUAAUAUUUUAUUCUCAUCUUAAAACCAAUCUUGGUUUAUUUAGAAAUUUUAAUUCAUUUUAACCUUUUUAUGCACAAUAAAGGUCUCUCACAUUUUUAAUACGUAAAUAUUUUACAUCUUGAAGCUUGAACCAUCCAUAUUCCAUUUUAGAAAUAUCAUUUGCCAUUACUCGCAAAGUCGAGAUUUAAAUGAUUAAUAUAUAACUUUUAUAUUAAAACACGACUUACUAUAUUAUUUCUUUUAUUUAUAUAAUUUUUUAUGCCUUUUUGACAAUUCAUGACUUAAAUCAUCAUAUCCCCUCUUACGCGAAUGUUUUAUUUCAUAAGCAACUUGGCUUCACAUUUUAUCUCGCGAAUAAUUCGCAUUCUCGCUUCGCAUAUAUAUAACUAUAUAUAUGCAUCGUUAUAUAAAUAUUUGUUCAAAAUGUUCGUUUCGAACUCCAGAAACCUUCAUUUCAUUACUUUCAUAACCAUUAAUAUUUUUAAUGGUUUCAUGAUUUUCGUUUCGCUAUAAAAUCAUUUUAUGUGUCAUUUCUGGCUUACAUUCGCAUAUCUAUGUAAAUUUAAAAUUACCUUACAUUUUUUUUCCAUUCUUUAUGCCCGAAAUAAAUUUUCAUGGCAUAAAGUACCAUAUAACCUCAAUACUUCGAUUUUGGGUCUUUAUUAGGCUUUAUGUUUCUUAAAAUUUAGCCCAAAUACGAUCCGAAAUGUCGAACGUCAAAACAGCUCAUGUCGGAUAUGUUCGGCAUCGCUUGUUUUUAAAUUCUGACAUGCUCCUUCGCUCAUUUUUAAUUCUUAAACCAUUAAUCAAAUCGCGGCGAAUUUAUGGUAUGUUAUAGACCUCAUGUCAUAGUAUUUUUUUAAAUUUCUAUCCGCGAAAACGAACCACGAAAACUACCCGUAAUGGAGCUCAAAAAUCACUCCAGCAGCAGCCUGCAGAGCAGGUGCCAGCGGCGCUGGGCACUGCCUGCCCUGCUGCUGCCUUGGCCUGUUGCAGCGCUUAACGAGUUGCCUACUUUGCGAUUUUCUCAUACAUUGCUCGUUUAUCGGAUCGAUUCUAAAUUUCAUUAUGUUUUUCCUAUCAUAUGAGACUAUUUUUAAAAAUAUCAAACUCCCAUUUCAGAUUUGUUACGCAGCCCAAACAGAGCGCCAAAAGUGUACGUUCAUAACAGUUUUUACUUUUGUUUCAGCUUUACCCUCUCUCGCUAAAACAGUCAUAACUUUUUCGUUUCAAAACAUUUUUGAGCGAUUCUUGAGCCCACACGAAGCUAACUUCCGGGGCUACAACUCUUACUUACUGACCUUUUCCAAAUUCCGAACACAUCAGUCCAGAAUUUCGCACAAAGGGGACUAGUCGGAAUUGGUUGGACAAUUUUGACACGACUACUUUGAAUGGUCAUAACUCUUUACUCCGAAGUCGGAAUUAGUCCGUUCUGGAGUCUAUGGAAAGCUUAUUCAGUGUAAUAUAAUACCCCAAAAGCCCAGAAUUUUUUGGAAACAUAUACUAUCCUUGAAUUUAUGUUUUAGGGUCAGCAGUCACACAAUCUUUCGGACUUUUCGUUUUGUCUCAAAAAUUGUUUUUCGUUCUAAUUUUAUUAUCCUUUAAUUAUCUACAUAUAGUGUAUAUAUAUGUAACCAUGGCCUCGGCUUUACUUAAUUAUUCGUUUUUAACCAAAACAGUCCACAGAGGACUUUCAGCGAACAUCUUAUGUGCGCUGUUUUGACAUGCGAAUUUUAUAGCCAUUCCUUUGUGUUCUAAACCCAUUUUAGCCUCCUUAUAACUCCGCACAACCAACCUAUCUCCUUUGUUCUAAUUUAGUCCCAUAGGAGUCAAAUACAUAAUUAAAAUUAAGCAAAAUCAAGUAAUUAGUAAACUAGUUACUAACUUUAAAAACUUUAACUAUUUGAUUCUAAUACACUCAAUAUGCAAUAAUAUAAUCUCAAUUCUCGUUGCUAUAUAACAUACAUAUAACAAUAUUAAUCCAGCCAAACUCAUUAGCCCAAUUGUAAAUUCUCAGUCUUACCCAUUUGUUUUGCUAAUUGAAUUUUAUAUUCAAACUAUUUAACCAUACAUACUAACUAAUUUCAUAAACAUAAUUAAAUUACCUUUGCUUGCUUAUAAUCUUUUGGAUAUCCUGAGAUUCCCUUGUAUACUAAUUUCUUGCUUCAAUUGAGUGGAAGGGUCAUAGAUGACUGGGCUGUUUCGGGUGGACAGGGGAGAAGGCAGGAGGAGAUCCAGGUUGAGGGAAAAAGAGAAGAACAUGAUAGUUUGAUCUCAUCCUAUAAAUUCCCAAGUCUUGAUCCCCAGGAAAAUUUUCUUUUCCUUCAUUCACAAAUAUUUUCCUUGGCCAAGGUAUAAAUUGCUUGCUCCAUAUGAAUUUACGGUGCUGAGUAAUAUACAUAGACUUGCCAGCUCAAGCUAACUCUCCUAAUGUCCCUGACUAGCUUCUACUGCUCAUGCUCCUGACUUUAAUAUUUUUCCCCCAAAUCAGUUUAUGGCUUUACUUUCUUAAUCAAUUUGAUGGCUUCUUAUACCGAAUUUGGAAAAAACUUAGUGCUUAUAACUUUGGGGAUAUGAAACUUGGCAAUUUGUUAGAGAGAGAGAGAUGAUGGAACGGGUGGAGAGGAGAUGAAAAUGAGAGAAUGAAAUUAUUUCAGUUUUUCUUAGAUCUCCU
rnacentral:lncRNA from 1 species